UACAGAGGGUGCGAGCGUUGUUCGGAAUUAUUGGGCGUAAAGAGCGUGUAGGCGGCCAGGUAGGUCUGCUGUGAAAACUCGAGGCUUAACCUCGAGAUGUCGGCGGAAACCAUCUGGCUAGAGUCCGGAAGAGGAGAGUGGAAUUCCCGGUGUAGCGGUGAAAUGCGCAGAUAUCGGGAAGAACACCCGUGGCGAAGGCGGCUCUCUGGGACGGUACUGACGCUGAGACGCGAAAGCGUGGGGAGCGAACAGG
rnacentral:rRNA from 1 species